AGGCAAACAAGUCAUAUCUGGUCUAAGGCAUUUAAGAUCAGGUGUGAGUCCUCGAUCUCUCUUCCCCUGACUCAGUAGUCCUGGAAACUGUGUGGAGAUAGUAACAUCAAAAUAUGUCAGAGACCUGCAUGUAUGCAGAGUACCUAGACCAUAGAGGGACAUAGGAGAUGGAAUGACACCCAUGAGCAGAUAGAAAAGAAUGGCCAGACAAACAACAACAACAACCAUGACUGCAUCCACAAGCUGGAUCUUAGUUUCUGCAAAUACUCCUGCUCUUCUGAGCCAAUGCCCCCUUCCUGCUCACUCUUCCCCUCUAUCCCUCCUUCUGUAGCGGACUGGAUCUCUUGGAAGACUAAAUGUUUAGUGAAAGCUCACUUGUACCUGCUAGGAAGGUUCAUCCUCCAUCCCUUCAUUGGAAAUGAAGCCCAAAGCCCUCAGGAACGGAUUCUGUGAUUCAUCAUUCAAUGCCACUCCCCACUUCUUUACUUUCUCCAAACACAAUCCCCAUGCUCUUGACUUAAAAAUGAUUUUAUUACUGUCAGGUUUAA